rnacentral:misc_RNA from 1 species
GAUACAUGGGCAAAAUUCAACUAACCAUGUAUUCGCUUUUCCAUUGACUCUCUUUAAUCUGUGUUUAUAUUUUUUAAAGUCGGUGACUUCAAUUCACAUGCAUGCUAAGAACCGUAGUUUAAUGCAAUAGAUUUACAUCUUAAAAAAAUCACACGGUCUUGUUUGUUUUAGGAACAGGGCAUAGAUGUCAUGAGUGGUACUAAUCAUGAAUCUUCUAGCGUGGUACCUGUUGGUUCCUUCAAGAGAGAGCCCAAAAAGUAAGCAAGGUAUAAUCUACAUACUUCAUAAUUCAUGAAGUCUGGUUCACAUCCUUUCCUCCAUUCGUUAUCAAGUUUAUGUAUAGGCUGAUGUCAUGGGAAAGAUUCAAGUUAGCUUUUAAAAUUCAUUCCUCAAACUAAUGGACAGACAUCACCUGUUAUCUAAAAUUUAAAGCUGUACUGCUUUUAAUAUGCCAAGUGUGCC